CACGUAGGGUGCGAGCGUUGUCCGGAAUUAUUGGGCGUAAAGAGCUCGUAGGCGGUGUGUCGCGUCGGCCGUGAAAAACUUGGGGCUUAACUCUGAGCGUGCGGUCGAUACGGGCAUCACUUGAGUUCGGCAGGGGAGACUGGAAUUCCUGGUGUAGCGGUGAAAUGCGCAGAUAUCAGGAGGAACACCGGUGGCGAAGGCGGGUCUCUGGGCCGAUACUGACGCUGAGGAGCGAAAGCAUGGGGGAGCAAACAGG
rnacentral:rRNA from 1 species